rnacentral:lncRNA from 1 species
GGAAAUGCAUGUCGGUCAAUAAGUGGCUGCUAUGCCUGCUAUCAUCCGUGGGGCCCAGUGGGCAAUGGACAGGAAGUCCCGGUGGCUAGACCCAGGUUGAGAGUCAGUGCACUAACUCAGUAUCACUUUGUUUUAGUCCACACACUUGAUCAGGCCACACGCUGUGCCCGCUGUGCCCGUACCUCUUCAAAGGAAAGAGUGUGCCCGCUGCAAAGGGGGGGAAAACACUAUUCCCAGGCUUCAAGGACUUCAGAACUUAGCAGAAAGCCAGGCUUCCCACUAGAAGAACACAGAGUGCCUUUGUGGUGGGCUACUAGCAAGAUUUCUGGUCUGGGGUUUGGCUCAGUUGGUUCAUUGGCCUACCCUGUGGAAGACCCUGGGUUCAACCCCCACACCAGCAAAUGAAGACAAUUUUGUUAAUGUUGACCGUGUGUGUGAGCUCAGGCACCGUGACAGGCUCAUGGAGCAUUCCUCUGAUUUCCCCUCCUCCUAGCACCUCUCUUCCCUCCCUCCUUUACUCCAAACCAUUUUCCUGCAACAACAUUUCUCUUAUUUCCUCCAAAUAACUGUGUUAUGCAGUAAAUGGGUGGAUUGAGUCAAGAAAGGCUCCGUGGCUACCUGGGGCAGCUUCCCUAUUACACAGCUGCUAAAGGGCAUUUCCCAGGAUGUGUGUACCUUCCUCCCUUCCUCUCCCCCAACAACUUUGCUGUAGGCUUUUUCUUAGCCAAAUGAACUGGAAAGGGGAACACCUUUGGGUGGCCCCAGGAUGGGGAGACGGGAAAAUCCAGGGAGCAGAGACGCAGUGAUAGAU